rnacentral:lncRNA from 1 species
GAUACGGUCAAAACUUUCAGAGACUUUACAAUCAACUAGAUGUAUCAAAUCUGGCGUACAAAAAUCCAACCAUCCUUUGAUUCAUUGUACAAAACGUUCCAACUCCAAACAAGGAUGCCCCAUAGUUAUACUUUUGGUAAACAAGCACAUGAAAUAAAUACUACUGGUAGUUAAGUUAUUACUACUAAAUCCAGCAAGCAAGGAUUCCUCAUAAUUUCUGCAUCUACCAGAAUUUGUUUAAACUUUACUCUUUCCCCCUUCUAAAACUUAGUGCAG